rnacentral:rRNA from 1 species
UACGUAGGGCGCAAGCGUUGUCCGGAAUUAUUGGGCGUAAAGAGCUCGUAGGCGGUCUGUUACGUCCGCUGUGAAAACCCAGGGCUUAACCCUGGGCUUGCAGUGGAUACGGGCAGACUAGAGUGUGGUAGGGGAGACUGGAAUUCCUGGUGUAGCGGUGAAAUGCGCAGAUAUCAGGAGGAACACCGAUGGCGAAGGCAGGUCUCUGGGCCACUACUGACGCUGAGAAGCGAAAGCAUGGGGAGCGAACAGG